rnacentral:rRNA from 1 species
GUUUGAUCCUGGCUCAGAGCGAACGCUGGCGGCAGGCCUAACACAUGCAAGUCGAACGAAGUCUUCGGACUUAGUGGCGGACGGGUGAGUAACACGUGGGAACGUACCUUUUGGUUCGGAACAACUCAGGGAAACUUGAGCUAAUACCGGAUGUGCCCUUAGGGGGAAAGAUUUAUCGCCAUUAGAGCGGCCCGCGUUGGAUUAGGUAGUUGGUGAGGUAAAGGCUCACCAAGCCUACGAUCCAUAGCUGGUCUGAGAGGAUGAUCAGCCACACUGGGACUGAGACACGGCCCAGACUCCUACGGGAGGCAGCAGUGGGGAAUCUUGCGCAAUGGUCGAAAGACUGACGCAGCCAUGCCGCGUGAAUGAUGAAGGUCUUAGGAUUGUAAAAUUCUUUUAGCAGGGACGAUAAUGACGGUACCUGCAGAAAAAGCCCCGGCUAACUUCGUGCCAGCAGCCGCGGUAAUACGAAGGGGGCUAGCGUUGCUCGGAAUUACUGGGCGUAAAGGGAGCGUAGGCGGGUCGACAAGUUGGAGGUGAAAGCCCAGGGCUCAACCUUGGAAUUGCCUUCAAAACUGUCGAUCUUGAGUAUGGGAGAGGUAAGCGGAACUCCGAGUGUAGAGGUGAAAUUCGUAGAUAUUCGGAAGAACACCAGUGGCGAAGGCGGCUUACUGGCCCAUUACUGACGCUGAGGCUCGAAAGCGUGGGGAGCAAACAGGAUUAGAUACCCUGGUAGUCCACGCUGUAAACGAUGAUUGCUAGUUGUCGGGCAGUAUACUGUUCGGUGACGCAGCUAACGCAUUAAGCAAUCCGCCUGGGGAGUACGGUCGCAAGAUUAAAACUCAAAGGAAUUGACG